rnacentral:rRNA from 1 species
UGGGGAAUAUUGCACAAUGGGCGAAAGCCUGAUGCAGCAACGCCGCGUGAGUGAUGAAGGUCUUCGGAUUGUAAAGCUCUGUCUUUUGGGACGAUAAUGACGGUACCAAAGGAGGAAGCCACGGCUAACUACGUGCCAGCAGCCGCGGUAAUACGUAGGUGGCGAGCGUUGUCCGGAUUUACUGGGCGUAAAGGGUGCGUAGGCGGAUGUUUAAGUGAGAUGUGAAAUACCCGGGCUUAACUUGGGUGCUGCAUUUCAAACUGGAUAUCUAGAGUGCAGGAGAGGAGAAUGGAAUUCCUAGUGUAGCGGUGAAAUGCGUAGAGAUUAGGAAGAACACCAGUGGCGAAGGCGAUUCUCUGGACUGUAACUGACGCUGAGGCACGAAAGCGUGGGUAGCAAACAGGAUUAGAUACCCUGGUAGUCCACGCCGUAAACGAUGAGUACUAGGUGUAGGGAGUAUCGACCCCUUCUGUGCCGCAGUAAACACAUUAAGUACUCCGCCUGGGAAGUACGAUCGCAAGAUUAAA